rnacentral:pre_miRNA from 1 species
UUUAAGCCGUAAUCAUGAGUUUCCGUGUCAAACUUUGAAUUUCUUUUUGUUAGUAUUUUUAUUGUUGUUAGAUGAUAGAACAUGAAUAAUAUUUUAUGCGUGACUUAUAUUUUUUUAAUUUUAUUUUUUUAAAUAAGACGAACGAUUAAAGUUGGACAUAAAAACUUAUGGCUGCACUUAAA